rnacentral:rRNA from 1 species
CUUUUAUGGAGAGUUUGAUCUUGGCUCAGGACGAACGCUGGCGGCGUGCCUAAUACAUGCAAGUCGAGCGCGGGAAGCAAGCAGAUCUCCUUCGGGG